rnacentral:lncRNA from 1 species
CACAGAGAGUAAAGCCCAUGAAGUUAGUAAAAUAGUUUUAUUAUUUUGUGAUACUAUAUAGCUAAAUUAAAUUGGCUACAUUGUUUCAUAAAUACAUCUAGUGUGGAGAGAGAGAGAGAGUGAGAGAGAGAUAGAGAGAGACUAUGUAUAUUUAAAUGUGUAAAGAAGAAGCAGACCAUUCUGCUCUUUUGUUCAUGCAACUCUCUAUCUGCUCACUUAAAGACACAUUGGCAUUUGAGACCUAAAAUUGUUACUUUGUUGUUGAAAUAAAGAAUGAACGGAAAGUCAAGGACAUUGAUUUUGAUGACAAUAUUGUCAAGAUCUGUAUUUUAGGAGGAAGUAUGUAAUAUUUUUAUUUUAUAAAAAAGUAGAUCUUUAGGGAGAAUGCAUUUAGGGCAACUUGAAUCUGUCUCCUCAGUUUAAAAAAAUAAAAGAUCUUUGGCAAUUUGUUUGAAUUUUAAAAGCCCCAAAUUCUAAAAAUUUACCUCUGGUUUGAUUCACGCACACAUUUAUUCUUGCAUAUACCAUGUCUGAUCUUGGCACAAGAAACUCUCCAUAGUGUGUCCUACAUGCAGUGAUUCAGUGAUCCAGGCUGAUCCAAUCUCAUAAUACUGCUAACUCCACACCAGGCCUCUGCAUCUCUCAAGCAGGGUAGGCAAUUGCCUUCGUCCCUCUGUGCUGCUAUAACAGAAUAGCACAGACUGAGUAAAUUAUAAAAAAGAGAAAUUUAUUUUCUCACAGUUCUGGAGGCUGAGAAGUUCAAUAUCAAGGUGCAAGCAUUAGUGUCUGGUAAGGGCUUGUUCCAUCGAUGGCAUCCUCUCACAGUGACAUCCUCCCAUGGCAGAAGACACAAGUGCAAAAAGGGGCAAACUCUUGCUGAAGCCUCUUUUUUAUUAAUCCAUUCAUGAGGACAGAGCACCAUGACUUCAUCACUUCCCAGAAGGCCCUCACCUCUUAAUCUCAUCACAAUGGAGAUUAAGUUUCAACAUGAAUUUUGUAGAGGAUGCAUUCAACCCGUAACAGCAAUUAUGUUCACACAUUAAUAUAAAAACAAAGAUCUAUCUUUAUAAAAUGUUAAACAUUUAUUUUGCAUUCCAAAUUCCCAGAUCCUAGAGUUAAAAUCAUUAUGAAGAAGUUUUUGAGCCUCUAUUAUAUGGCUGUAACAUUUACAAACCUCCAAAUAUUUCAAAGCCACUGUUUUGGUAUUGAUUAAAUGAGAAUAAAAUGUGUUAUGAGCUCACCUCAAUUGCCCUGUCAUAUAGUAUUUUAUCCCAUUUUUAUCUCUCUCUCUUCCUCAUGAAGCUUUUAGAGCAAUAAA